rnacentral:lncRNA from 1 species
AUGGUUAAAUUUUUUGCAUUACCUGUAACCCAAGUUAUGACAAUUCAAAACCUUCUGACACUUCAGUUGGCUUCACUUGUUCGUGACCGAGAGGAUGCUGCUGGGGAAUCUCUGCUGCAGCGCUGGACUUCACUGGAAGGGCUUGCUGGGAACGUCGAAACUUUCCGAACAUGCACGACUUUCUCUUCUCAACGUUCAAGUCCACCCACUCAUCGAGUGGGAGCCUCAUAACACAGGUAAUUGGAGCGUCAAGCGCUGCAGAACUGGGAGGAGGAAGGUUUGGGUGAAGAUACUGGUGCGGACCAAUGCCUUUGAAUCUAACACGCUCGUGAAGAGCAGGAGGUCUUACAUCUUGGUCACAGUACUCCUGAAUGGUCAAAUUUCCCUCAUAUCAGUUAUAUAG